rnacentral:siRNA from 1 species
UAACUACAAAAGCUGAUGUCUA